rfam:Rhizobium etli CNPAF512 RHECNPAF_contig133, whole genome shotgun sequence.
CCCCUGGUCCGGGCCCCUCUGGCGAAAUUUUCGGCGCUUUCGUGAUGCCGGACCAUUUCC